CCAAUAUGACCACGUUGGACCUGAGCUGGUGCUGUAGUCCCCCUGCUGCUCUCCCCUCUCCCACCUCAGACAGGGCUGGCUGGCUGUUCCCCUGCUGCUCUCCCCUCUCCCACCUCAGACAGGGGCUGGCUGGCUGGCUGGCUGGCUGGCUGGCUGGCUGUUGCCUCCACUCCAGACUGGGUUAAUCCUACUUCAGCUGCUGCCUGUAUAACUCUAUGAC